rnacentral:rRNA from 1 species
UACGAAGGGGGCGAGCGUUGUUCGGAUUUACUGGGCGUAAAGGGCGCGCAGGCGGCAGAUCAAGUCAGACGUGAAAGCCCCGGGCUUAACCUGGGAACUGCGUUUGGGACUGGUUUGCUAGAGAUCGGGAGAGGAGAGUGGAAUUCCCAGUGUAGAGGUGAAAUUCGUAGAUAUUGGGAAGAACACCGGUGGCGAAGGCGGCUCUCUGGACCGAUACUGACGCUGACGGCGCGAAAGCGGUGGGGAGCAACAGG